rnacentral:rRNA from 1 species
UACAUAGGCCCCAAGCGUUAUCCGGAAUUACUGGGCGUAAAGAGUUCGUAGGCGGAGGAAUAAGUCAGAAGUGAAAGGUCCGGGCUCAACCCGGUACUUGCUUUUGAAACUAUUCCCCUUGAAUGAGGGAGAGGGAGGCAGAAUGGUACGAGUAGGGGUGCAAUCCGUUGAUACGUACCGGAAUACCAAAAGCGAAGGCAGCCUCCUGGAACUCUAUUGACGCUGAGGAACGAAAGCGUGGGGAGCGAAAAGG